CUAGGAUGAACGCUAGCGACAGGCCUAACACAUGCAAGUCGAGGGGCAGCACAAGGAGCAAUCUGAGGUGGCGACCGGCGCACGGGUGAGUAACACGUAUGCAACCUGCCUGUAAGCGGGGAAUAACCCGUUGAAAGACGGACUAAUACCGCAUAAUACUAAAUUACUGCAUGGUAAUUUAUUUAAACAUUUAUGGCUUACAGAUGGGCAUGCGCAUGAUUAGCUAGUUGGAGAGGUAACGGCUCCCCAAGGCAACGAUCAUUAGGGGUUCUGAGAGGAAGGUCCCCCACACUGGUACUGAGACACGGACCAGACCCCUACGGGAGGCAGCAGUGAGGAAUAUUGGUCAAUGGACGAGAGUCUGAACCAGCCAAGUCGCGUGCAGGAAGAAUGUCCUAUGGAUUGUAAACUGCUUUUGCAGGGGAAUAAAGUGCAUCACGUGUGAUGUUUUGUAUGUACUCUGCGAAUAAGGAUCGGCUAACUCCGUGCCAGCCGCCGC
rnacentral:rRNA from 1 species